GAAUCAAGGUGAAUCCUACCUUUUGUGUCCACCAAGAUCAGAAGUUUCUUCUGUCCUUCAUCAGGUAGUUGUGGAAUUGGCUGGAAUUCUUUACUGGAGGAUGAUUUAUAGCUCUCCUCUUUCCUGAUAGGACAGGUGAUUCAACGUCACAGAUACAACAGUUCAACACAUUACAGUGGGAACCUCUAAUUGCUGUAUGAGAAAACAAGCAUUAUUAGCAUAAUCAUUAUAACCAUUACUAAUGAAAAGCUCUACGCAUGAGAUCAGUGAGCAAUGGAUCAUAAGAGAAAUUCUGCAGCUCCUCUCUGGUUUGUGUGUUUUCUCAUGCUGGGGAAAGACAACACACUUUUUAAGACAGACUGAGAAAAGGUAGAAUUCAGUCAGCUUCAGAGCAAGGGGAAGAGAAUACUAAACGUUAAAUUGUGGAAGAAAAAGCAAACUCUAUAAUUACAUGAAGGUUGAAUAUGUGGAGGUGAACUGGGCCUUCUUGGAGCUCAUCACAAACAAAAAUAAGAAGGAACAGAGAUGUAGCAAAGUGAGAAAGUUCAGUACUGUCAGGAGGAAAGUGAUUAUGAUCUCUCUGUCAAGAACCCCCAAGUAAAAAUUUCAGUGAUAAAGAUAUUUCUGGACGUAUUUGAUAAGAAUCAAUGGAUGUGCCCACUCAAGUAAUCUCAGAAAAGAGGAAGUAAUGUCAAUUACAGGAUGAGAGGAAGGAAAUAAGAGGAAAAGAGUUGGUUGUCACAUGCAAGAAGGUUGUGGCUCAUUCACAGAUGGAACUCAACUUGUGCACACAAACCCAGGAUUUCCUUUCACCUUUUCUUGAAAAAAAUGUCAUUAUGGGGAACUGCAUGAUGUAGAUCUGUAUGCUGAACAUGCAUCAGAAGGGUCUGAUCCUCUCUGGAUAGGUCCUCAGCAUUAAGUGUAGAGAGCUCUGAAUAAGCUUGGAUUAUUUGCAAGAAUCAUAGAAUCACAGAAUUGAUGUGAUAUAAGUUGGAAAAGACUUCUCAAAUCAACAACUAGCACUGCCAAGGCUACCACAGAACCACAUCUGCCACAUCUGCGCAUCUGUUAAACUCCUCUGGACCUGGUGACCCCACAGAUUCUCUAGACAGCCUGUGCCAAUGCUUGACCACCCUUCCUAUGAAGAAGUUUUUCUAAUAUCCAGUCCUAACCUCUCCUGGCACAAUUUGAAGCCAUGUGCUGUUGUCCUGUUGCUGGUUACUUGGGAGAAGAAACCGACCCCCUCAUGGCUGGAAAAGAAGGAACAAAUGUCUCCAUUCAUGGAGCCAUGUGCUCCCAGUGCCUGGGAAUGAGGGUAUCUUGGAUUGCACACCAGACUGCACUGCUCUGUGCCAUCACUGGCUGACACUCCUCUGUGCUAUUUGGGUGACAACUUGCAAGGUGGGGGUCUCCAAAUGCUCAGGGAAGUUGGAAGUGCAGGCGCAAGAGAGGAUUUUGUUGCUGAAACAUGGACGUCUGUUGCCAAUUUUGCUGUAGCAUAUUUGAGACAUAUGCACGGUACUAACAGGUAUUACACAGCACUUAUGGGAGACUCCCCUUCUGGAGUGUCAGAUGGAGGCAAGAAACAAUUUAACUUGGGCAGACGAAGACAGGUUGCUAUUGUGAAUCUGCUGCAAUGCUUCCAGGUAUUCAUAACAUUGCUUACAUUGCUAAGUGCUGUGAGGGGAAAGUAUCAAAGGUAAGGGAUUAUGCUCUGCUGAAGCUGAUGAAACAGUUCCUCCAGUUUGAAGAAUUGUGACAAAUGAAAACCUCUUAUACACAAACCCGAGUUAUCCAGGUUGUCUGUUAAUGAAACAGAUGUCAGUUUGCUUAAAUUCCAGGCUUCCUUUUUUUCCCUGCUCUUCAAGUCUUUGAAUUUGUGCCUGAGCAAAAGUUUGGAGAGUGCUCUUGUGCAACAUUUGUCUAUAUGGUACAAAAAUUCCUUAAUUUGACUCCACCAGAAUUAAAAAUAGGAUAUUUUAUAUAUAUUUAAAGACAUUUUUGCAGAAAUUGGAUCACAUUUCUUUGUUCUGGUUUUCAUCUGAUUCAUAAUUACUUCACUGAAAUGCAAAUAUACAGUAGUUCAGCAGAGGGUAGAAUUGAUCAGACCCAAAUUAAUCUUCUCACAUUAAAUGACCAAUUUAACAGGUUCUGUAGGCUCCCCAUGUAGUAGAUGAAGAGAGAUGGACAACUGCAAGAAGGCUCCACAUCACUUCUCUGCAGAUGUCUGAAAAGUAGGAUAAAAUAUUCUCUGCAAUAGAUUCUUUUUAUCCAGGGAAAAUGAAAAGGCUACACUAGAUCAUCUCCAGAAGUCUGCAGUUAGGCAAUAUACCUUGAAUUUUCUUUAGGUGUUCAGAAACCUGAAAAACAAGACAUUGCAGAUUCUCUGAGAAUUCAAUGGUGAUUAAAAGCUGGAAGCAGCUUUGUAAUAGGAGCAUCUUUCUUCAGCUCUCUCAAGUGGUGUCAAGGCAAAUAACAUUGAGAAAAAAAAAAGAUUAUGAGGGUCUAGCCAUUUCAGUAAGGAAUUAGAUUGGCAAGGAGGUUUGAAAGGGAUAUAUUUGUAGUUAAUAGGCAGAAAAACUUAAUAGCAAAGAAAGGCCAACUGGAAGAUUAUAAUAUAGCCAUAGUGUAACUAUAGAGGAAAGCAGACAUAGUUUUUAUAGAUUUUUAAUACAGAUAAUUUGCAUUGUACCACAGGAACUAAGCCCCUGUAUGCCAAUUGCAUAGCAUUCUUAAAACAAGUGGUUUUCUAUCAGUGAUGCCCUUACAGGAACCAGUACAGGGUUUUCAGACAUACAUGAGAUUUUACUUCACAAAGUUCUGUUCUGACAAGAUAAUUUGUCAGAACAAAAUAUCUGCACCUGCUCCACUGAAAUUGGCUCAUUUGACACUGCUUUUGUAGCAGUUUGACCCUACUUUUGUACCAGUGCUGUAAGCCUACAGGAGCCAUCACAUUUGGGCAGUGGGAAGUUAUUGCACUUCCAGACAUAUAAUUUACCACUUAACAGUUUUAUUCCUUAAAGAGAUAUAAACUCACAUAUCUUCUGCAUUUAAAAGGCCAUAACAGUACACCCCAUCUCUGUUGAUAUAUCAGGUAGUUCUUUAUGCACUGAAUAUGAGGAUAUUUGGUAAUACAAACACUUUUUUUAAAGCAAACAGGAAGACAAAUCCCCUGCCCUGGACCUGUAAUGGAUUCAUCAGCUCAACACUGCUAAAGCCACAUCAAACAUCCACAAAAAUUCCUAUCAACUCCUCACUUAUUGCUUAGUCCAUUGUUGCAAACGUGAGGACAGUUUCUGCUGGUGGUUCUUCUGGGACAAGGAGGGACUGAAUUUCCAACUGGCAAAGGAAAGCAGGUGGGAUAAUGAAAAUGGAUCUACGCUGAAGAGGCUUCAGUGUGAGUAGCCUUAAAGGUGGCCUGGUUAGAGAGGGAAAAUUACGGAGCAGAAGAAAAUGUCUGCUGGAAAAUACUGGCAGAGAUAUUCCCAGCCAGCCUGGCAGCUGUGAGCCUGGGAACUUUCAUACUACAAACAUCCCUGACAACUGCAUCUGGCCUCCUUAUGUACAGCUGGGGUUCCCAGAAGCCAGAGAUAUCCUGAGAAGCACAAGUUACAAGAAAUUGUAACAGCCGUAUAUCAGCUGAAAAACUGGAAACAGUUUGGGGACAUGAUCAUGGUCUGAAAGAACCAAAAUUAUCAUCAUCUAUUUGCUGGUUCAGGUGAAAAAUUUAAAUUAAAAACAUUCAUUGGCUCCUUGUAGUGGUGAUGUCCUGUGCUUUCUUAUGUCUCUAUGUUAUAAAAAGGAUUUAAUUUUUAUCUAA